rnacentral:rRNA from 1 species
GAUGAACGCUGGCGGCGUGCCUAAUACAUGCAAGUCGAGCGAACGGACGAGAAGCUUGCUUCUCUGAUGUUAGCGGCGGACGGGUGAGUAACACGUGGAUAACCUACCUAUAAGACUGGGAUAACUUCGGGAAACCGGAGCUAAUACCGGAUAAUAUUUUGAACCGCAUGGUUCAAAAGUGAAAGACGGUCUUGCUGUCACUUAUAGAUGGAUCCGCGCUGCAUUAGCUAGUUGGUAAGGUAACGGCUUACCAAGGCAACGAUGCAUAGCCGACCUGAGAGGGUGAUCGGCCACACUGGAACUGAGACACGGUCCGGACUCCUACGGGAGGCAGCAGUAGGGAAUCUUCCGCAAAGGGCGAAAGCCUGACGGAGCAACGCCGCGUGAGUGAUGAAGGUCUUCGGAUCGUAAAACUCUGUUAUUAGGGAAGAACAUAUGUGUAAGUAACUGUGCACAUCUUGACGGUACCUAAUCAGAAAGCCACGGCUAACUACGUG